GCCUGGUCUAACUAAACGGAUAAGGGAGAGUAGCCAGGAAGCGCGCCAGCAGCAUCUCGCUGGCGCCUGAGGGUGUCGGUGCCGACCGCCGCAGGCGCGCGUGGAGACGGGCUGGGCGCCGCCGAGACGUGAGCGUUCGUGGCCAUUGGUCGCCGCUUCAGUCGGCCGCCGGAAGUUCAGUCGCGCAGGGGCCGAGCCGCGCGCAGCCGCCGUGGAUGCCUUAGGCGCUCGUGCCACAGGGCCGCGGGAAGCCGCGCUAGUGGAGCCGCUGCGUCGCGGCCGGCCCGCUGAUGCGUCAAGUGCUCGAGGCCUCCUUGCUGGUGCAUGGCUGAGGGCAGCCGAUGCGUGCGCUCCAGUGGCGACUGGCGAGAGCCCAAGGUACUAAUCAUGAUAGCGAGCAUGUAUAUACUAUAUAUAGGAAAAGAAGCACCUUAAUCAUGCAGCAAUUAGAUCAAUUCUUUGGUGUCUGCGUGAUGGGCACAGUUAGAAUGCUGUCCAGGGUGAUUGAUUUGCCCAUCGGACUUGUUCUUGUUGAUCUUGUGUCGUCACCGAUUAUUUCUUCUCCUUCUAUCCAAAAAUUUCUUCCGGUUCCUGUUUCCGCAGAGAUCAAUCGAUCUGGACAUGCUCACAAGCGAUUCCUUAUGCAUAAUUGAGAAUCAAUUAUUAGAUCACAGGAAGGCAAAAUUAUAUAGAUCUCCUGAUCGAUGAAGUUCUCCUAUGCAGGGAUGUAUCCAUGCCCAUGUGGAGCGGCGCGCUGUGCCGUGAGCGGCCAUUACCGUGGCCGGCCGCAUCUGGGGUAGAGCGGACGCAAGAGCCGUUCGUGGGGAUAACGACAGGCCCGAUGUCAUCGCUUCGGAGGGCCGGCCAGGGGCAUGGCCUCGAGCGCCGCCGAUCUGCAUGGAUGCAAGACGAGGGCCGCGUCGACCACCAGGGAGCAGCGCUGAAGGAGUGGUCGUCGCCGUCGCUGCUCUUUGCGUCGUCUCCGGCCUUUGUUCUCCGUGUCGCGCCGUGAGGCCGAUAGGAUCGCUCCGCCGGGAGCGUGGUGAUAACGUGUUUAAUGAAAACGAGAUGUAACUCAGUGAAUGAAUCAAGUGUAAUCUUUCCAUUGAUCAAUUGGAUUUACCCAAAUUCUUCCUGGUGCACGCGCCGCAAAACGGGCGGCCGGUCUUGCCC
rnacentral:lncRNA from 1 species